rnacentral:tRNA from 1 species
GGUUUCAAAAUCUGUCAGAUAAGAACUUUUUAAUUUCUUUAAGGGAGGGGUGCCUCCUGAAAUCA